AAGGAACACACGUCAGCCACACGAUCGCAGUCUGGUGACAAUGAUCGGCGUGAUGAAGUUCUUCGCUCUGCUGGCGGUUUGCCUCGCAUUUGUACUUCUGCAGGACAUCCCCACAUGCACAGGAGUGCCUUACCCGAAAUGUCUGUGCAUCAUAGAGUACCCCAAUGGAACAAGCGCGAGCUGCUGCCCCUGAUAUCACAAAAUAUUGCCGUGUGACGGAAACAGUACAACAAAUGCUUCACUGUUUUCCCAUGUAGCAACGAUGGAUUAAUAAACUAAGAAAAUUCAA